rnacentral:tRNA from 1 species
GAUAUCGUGCCAGAAUAAUGGAUCACUUUGAUGUAGUGAAAUAUGGAGUACCUGCUCCCGAUAUUU